GCCUCGCGGAGCCGCGGCGCUCUCCCGUCGCAGGAGGAACGGGCCUGCGGCGGCGCUCUCUCGCCGAGAGGACGGCCUGCGGUGGCGGUAGGGGACUCCACACCGCAUUAAUAGGCAACAAUAGCGUCAGUCUCCGUCUCCAACACUGGGGACUGUCAGAAAUAGCGACAAGCAUCUACUGUGAGGACAACAGUUUAACCCAACACUACUAGGAUCAACAAUCCCAAGUUUUUACCAGACAAGGUUACGGGGGGAAUCCGAGUGGAAGGCAGGGAAACAGAGAGAAAACCUGUCUCAUCAGUGGCUCACGUGCACGGCGAACAGCAGCCCGGGCACACAGACUCACGUG